rnacentral:lncRNA from 10 species
AUUUUUGUGUUUUUAGUGGAGACGAGGCUUUACCAUAUUGGCCAGGCUGGUCUCAAACUCCGAACCUCAAGUGAUCUGCCCACCUGGGCUCCCAAAGUGCUGGGAUUACAGGUGUGAGCCAUAGUGCCUGGCCUAUAACUCAUUUUUAACACCACACUUUACCCACAAUGAAAAUAGAUUAACUUCCAUCAUAUUCUCUUAAUUAUGGCAGUCAGAAGUUGGCUAAGGGGCCAAGCGUGGUGGCUCACACCUGUAAUUCCAGCACUUUGGGAGGCCGAGGCUGGAGGACCCCUUAAGCCUAAGAGUUAGAGACCAGCCUGGGUAAUACAGGGAGGCCCCUAUAAGGAGACCCUCUAACUCUUUGAAAAAAAAAAAAAGUCUGUUAAUGUUCAAAGGGAAGGGACGUAACUCCACAUCUUGAUAAGGGUAGUGGCAAGGUUCGAGAAGGGUAUGAGACUUUAAAUAUUGUUGGGGUCAUUUCUGCAAAACACAACUUGCCAUAGGUUUCUUUUGUAAAAUGGGAGACCAGUGAUUACCAAAAGGCAGCAGGGAAAAAGAACUGGCAUGAUCCCUUGAUAUGGAUAUGUUUUUAUGUAGGUCAAUUUUAAUAAAGGAUUUACAUGGGCACUGCGAUCUGAAUUUGCAUUCCCUUAAAGCUAUUUAUGCCUGCAUAUCCCUUAGAAAGUUUAAUAUUCCCAGGAGUAUGUAGACCCUUGUUUGAAGACUCUACUAUAGACUACACUUCCAUCCUUUAAGCAUAUGAAUUUUUAAGAUGUAUACUUAAUUGUAAGUUUUUCUAAAAAGUUAUUCAGCAUUUUUAUAGAGGUAAAAUGUGUAUCCUAGAACAUUAAAAAACAAUCCCUUUCAUUUUAAAGAAUAAUCAAUUCCUUUUACUCAGAUAAAUAAAAAUAGAGUAACGGUAACAAACCAAAUGGCCAAUGCCACAAGAAUUUUGAUAACUGAAUACACUACUUACAGUGUAUGCAUCUUUCCUGAGGACAAAAAUUUUUCUUAAAAAACUCAGGCCAGGUCUCUAGAAGUAGAUGUUGGUAAGCGUUAGCAAGAAAUUUUACCUUUGUUUUAUGUUACACUUACAGUGAAAUAAAAUGUACGUAGACCAUUAGAAGAGUUACAGUUUGAAUGUCUUCCAAAUAUGAUAUAAAUACACUGGCACAAAAUCCUAACUUCUGUUUUCGUCUUUACUAAUAACCCAAUGAUCUAAGAGAUGCUUCAGUAAAUUAUCUCCAAAUGUCAUUUCCUAAAGACAACAUUUCUUACCUAUAAAGUUCAAUAAAGUAUUUAAAAAAGUAUUCCCUUUGCUUUAAUUUCCAUUAUACAUCAUGACCUCAACAUAUCUGGAAAGACAUAAUGUUGGGAAUAAGGACUUUUUCUUUAAAAUACUGGGGAAAAAUUACUAAGUUAUCCCUUUUAUAUACAGGGUGUAGGUAGAACAAUAUAGUAGUUACAAUCAGAAUUUCUACAUCCAUUUAUCACUUAAGUACCUACUAUCUUGCAGACACUAUUCUAAAAACUAAGGAAAUGGGGGUAAAUGAGAAAGUAACAGCUACCACUUAUUGAGUGCUUACUAUGUGCCAGGCUCUGGCUUAAGAGUUUCAUACAUAAAUUCAUUUAAUCCUCCAACACAACACCUCUAUGACACAGGUACUAUUAAUUUUCUCAUCUUACACAUGUUCUGGGCUGGGCACGGUG